GGGCACGUAGCUCAGUCCGGAUAGAGCGUCGGACUUCUAACAUCCGACGGUCGUGGGUUCAAAUCCCAUCGUGCCCG
rnacentral:tRNA from 1 species